AAGAUUAAGCCAUGCAUGUCUAAGUAUAAACAUUUGUACUGUGAAACUGCGGACGGCUCAUUAAAUCAGUUAUAGUUUAUUUGAUAGUAACUACUACUUGGAUAACCGUGGUAAUUCUAGAGCUAAUACAUGCACUGAAAUCCCGACUUCUGGAAGGGAUGUAUUUAUUAGAUAAAAACCAAUGCGGGGCAACCCGGUUCUUUGGUGAUUCAUAAUAACUUCGCGAAUCGCAU
rnacentral:rRNA from 1 species